rnacentral:misc_RNA from 1 species
CAGGUUUGUGGCACCCUUUUUCGAAUUAGUUUGUAACUACACUAUUGCAAUCAGUUUAUACUUAUGGAACUCUGUUUUACAGUUAUCGUAUCACAUGGUUUUGCUGUUGUGAAUUUGUUUUGAAUGGAAUUUUAAUAUUUUAAUAGUUAUUGACUUAAUCAAAUUAUUCCUUAAUUCAUUUGGUACAUUCAUAUGCUCUAUGGCAUUCACAUUAUGGAGAUCAAGUGCAUUUGAUGAAAAGGAAUGGUUAUUAUUAUUCUCUUUAACAUUGGUACUACCUAUCCUGGGCCCCAAAACUACAUAAUUGAUGACAGUGCUUGUGGUUGAAAGAACAAAAUUAUGGUAAACUGCAAAUUUGGUAUUGUAUCAUGCUUGAUCCAGUAACCA